UGCGUAGGCUGUUUCUUAAGUCAGUGGUGAAAUCCUGCGGCUCAACCGUAGAACUGCCAUUGAAACUGAGAAACUUGAAUAUAGUUGAGGUAGGCGGAAUGAGUAGUGUAGCGGUGAAAUGCUUAGAGAUUACUCAGAACACCGAUUGCGAAGGCAGCUUACUAAACUAUUAUUGACGCUGAGGCACGAAAGCGUGGGGAGCGAACAGGAUUAGAUACCCUGGUAGUCC
rnacentral:rRNA from 1 species